rnacentral:rRNA from 1 species
GACGAACGCUGGCGGCAUGCCUAACACAUGCAAGUCGAACGGAGAAUCACUUCGGUGAUUCUUAGUGGCGAACGGGUGAGUAACGCGUAGGCAACCUGCCCUUUGGAUGGGGACAACAUUCCGAAAGGAGUGCUAAUACCGAAUGUGACGAUUUUACCGCAUGGUUUAAUCGUGAAAGAUUGCCUCUACAUGUAAGCUAUCGCCAAAGGAUGGGCCUGCGUGUGAUUAGCUAGUUGGUGGGGUAACGGCUCACCAAGGCGACGAUCAGUAGCCGGUCUGAGAGGAUGAGCGUCCACAUUGGGACUGAGGCACGGCCCAGACUCCUACGGGAGGCAGCAGUGGGGAAUCUUCCGCAAUGGACGAAAGUCUGACGGAGCAAUGCCGCGUGAGUGAUGAAGGUUUUCGGACCGUAAAGCUCUUUGUUUAUGACGAAUGUGCAUGAUGUGAACAAUGUUGUGUAAUGACGGUAGUAAACGAAUAAGCCACGGCUAACUACGUGCCAGCAGCCGCGGUAACAC